AAACGACUCUCGGCAACGGAUAUCUCGGCUCACGCAUCGAUGAAGAACGUAGCAAAAUGCGAUACUUGGUGUGAAUUGCAGAAUCCCGUGAACCAUCGAGUUUUUGAACGCAAGUUGCGCCCGAAGCCAUCCGGUUGAGGGCACGCCCGCCUGGGCGUCACG
rnacentral:rRNA from 1 species